UUUAAAAUCAAAAAUCGUCGUUUAAAGAUUGUCUCUUGUUUCAAGAAAAUAUUUAUUUGAAAUAUUUCUUCCAUUUUUUACAUACACUUGUUUUUGAAGUAAUCAAACAUUCCCUCAUAUAAAGUGUUAGCUUUUUAUGUUAAAAUGCAACGCAUCGUUCAGCAGUAAGCAAAACGAUUGUCGUAGAUUGAAUUUUGUGUCUGUUACUGAAUGUGAACGUUUGCAGGUACGUAAGUUGUCAACGUUGUUUUUGUAUUUUGUGUAGAAAAAAUGAAAGACAUUUAUUUUAGGUGUUAUUUUUUCAAUAGAUCUUGUUUGGUUGUUGGAAUUUUACUAUGGCUUCGAGUCUUCGACAAAAAGACUGUGAGGUAAAGAUAAGUUGGAAAACGGUCGAUGAAAGGUGUUUCCACGAAUUUAUAAACUCUGGAUUAGCACAAGAUUUAAUCCUUCGAGUCAGGCAGAAGUCGAUCAAAACUGUGAUGUGAUCACCUGUUGUGUUGUGGGUUAUAUAAGCCUGGUUGAUCUUCAAUAGAAGAGCUUGGACUUUGACUGUGAAAAAGUUUUGACUACUUAAAAGUGUUCGAAGUAAUUCUACAAAAGAGAUGGGACUUCUCUGGUCGAUUUUUAUUACGUUUCAAAUGUCUUUUGCUCUGCUGUCGGAACGCUUUUACGUUAAAUGUGAUGUUCGCACAGCUGAAAAACAUUGGAGUUUUUUCAAAUAUCCAUUCCACCAUCCGACGAACCGAAAAAAAGUUGCACUUAUGUGUCACAAUAAGAAUUAUCUUGUUCUCAUGAAUGGGAAGCUGAAGGGAAGUGUUGAUCCGAAGAUUAUCAGAAAAUACGGUAAAUUUGAAUUACAGACUUUUGGAGUUGGUAAAGUCAGAAUAUUCAAUGUAAGAGGGAAAAAAUUCGUUGCUGUUGACAAGAAGGGUCGUGCAUACAUCACUCGCAAUAAUACGUUGGACGCACUCUUUGUGACGACACAGAAAAACAGUUUAUUCGUCACGUACCAUUCUUACAAGCACAAGACACAUACGUUAAACGGGAGUCAAAAAUGGUAUUUAGCAAUUAAAAAAGACGGGCGUUUAAAAAGACCCUCGAAAACACAUUUGAGACAACGCUCAACGGAAUUUCUUCAACGGGAUUGGAGAAAAUACAAACAGCAGUUAACUGGUUCGUUCCAAAAGUAAAAAACUGUGGUAAACAGUGGUAAAAUUUACUGAUCAAAUAACUGGUGCUUUAGGUAGAUAGCACUAGUGAAAUUCUAUUGAAAGUCAUUAUGAUCCUAUCAUCUUAAUCCAAAAACUAUAAACACUGUCAUACUAUUUUGAUCGAGCAUGUUGAGGCGCUAACUUAUAAAUUUUCUCUCAGUGUAGCCGUAUUUUGUAAUCCCUUGGACAAGUGGUUUUAUAUAUGUAUAUGUGUCUUUUCAAACGUUUUUUGAAACGUUUCUGAACAAUUAUGGAAAACCUCACUAUAUGAGUUGUACACUUUGUGGCGUGUAUCAUAUAUAAGUGUAUAUAAUUUAUAUAAUUUGUAGACGACGCGUUAACACGAAACGAUGACAGUUAAUUUUAUUUUAAAUUUACUCGUGCAAUUUACGUACAAUUUGACUUGCUAAGCCCAGUGAUACAAGAAAGUGUACAUCAAUCAAGCUGUAAAUUCUCCUUUAUGAUUCUUCAACAGUGCAUGAUUUAAAUUGGAAAGCAUUUAUUUAAACGAUUCAUCGUUAA